rnacentral:lncRNA from 1 species
AAGAGGAAAUAAUUACUUUUAAAAUGAUCAUUUUGAAAUGUCCCAUGGAUAAGUGGAAUUAUGUGCAAUUACAAACAAGAAGCUUUCAACCCUUAAAAUUUUGAUCCAUCCAUCUACUUAUCCAUCCGUUAAUGAGCAAUGAUACAUAAAAAGCAAUUCCUUGCCACCUACGUAUGGAAUCCAAAUUAAGGUAGAAUUUCCUUUUUAAAACACAACACUGCAUUCUUUUAAGUAUAAUAGAGAAGCCAAGAAAUAAUUGUCUUCAGAAUAGGACAGAGUCACAUGACAAUAUAAUGCUUUGGGAUUGCAGAAAAGGUAUUUACUAUAGUAUCUAAGUAAAGUUCCCUACAAAAGAGCAUUUUCUUGAUUUCUUAAGGAUAGAAAGACUAGUGUGUUAGAAGGGAUAUGCAGCAUACUCAAAUUAUCCAGAAAUAAUAUAGAUUAUGCUAUAUUUCUCAUUGAAUUCAGUUGAUAAAUUGUAGUAAUUGUUGAAAAAUUGAAAGUGAAUAAUUAAGGGCAAGCAGAUAUUAGUUUAUAAAGAAGCUACAAUAGUCACAGAGGCUGUGCUUACAAAGUAGUAGGGAACCAAGAAUGCCGAGGGGUAGAUGUACGGUUCUUUAUAAUCCAAAAUUCAUGUGUUUCUAGUCAGUAUGGCUAUAGACAUCAACUCAGAGAUUAUGUCAGAGCUAAAAAGAAAGUUCUAUGAAGACACAUCUUUCUUUCCGUGCUGAAAAUUCUAGCAGUAUAUUUCGGACAGAGCGUAUAACAUGUUAUAAACAUGUGCAUUUUAUAAAAACAAAUCUCCUAGAUGAAUAACUGGUGUUGUAGCUGAUCACAGGUGGGGCAACAAUUCAGGAAUGAGAGGAUGAGCCAUGAAUAAACCACAGGAAGAUUACUGCAAUUCUACU